AGAAUCAACGCUGGCGGCGUGCCUAACACAUGCAAGUCGAACGAGAAAGGGGAGCAAUCCCUGAGUAAAGUGGCGCACGGGUGAGUAACACGUGACUAACCUACCCUGGAGUGGGGGAUAACUGAGGGAAACCUUAGCUAAUACCGCAUAAUACCCACGGGUCAAAGCAGCAAUGCGCUUGGAGAGGAGUUCGCGGCCGAUUAGCUAGUUGGCGGGGUAAUGGCCCACCAAGGCGAUGAUCGGUA
rnacentral:rRNA from 1 species